GGCUGGGCUGGCCUCUCAUUGGCUGGGCUACCGCUGCCUUUUAUUGUGAGCCAUGACAGUCCUUCAUUGGCUGGGCUGUGGCGUCUCUCAUUGGCUGAGUGAGUCACGACAGUCUCUCAUUGGCUGGGCUGUUGCCAGGGCAGAGGAAACCUUCCUUCUUUUGCUGGGCAGUGAAGUAGCUACAGCAGUAUCCACCUGCAAGGUGUGUCUUUUGUCGUCGGUUCUGCAGGUGCAGACAGUGGUAGGAGGUGUUCCUCGCAGCCCUGUCCACCGUGGCCAGAGGAGCGUUCACCGAUGGCGAAGGGAUAGACACGAUGUGGGCAUCCACACGAGGACUGGAACAUUGCUCCGCCAUAGAAAGGACCGAGAAAUGGCUGAUAUUGGCUGUGUUGUAUGGACUUGGGAUUCAGCUCCAUUCCACAUGUGUUAUUCCAGACCCAGGUUGAGGAGCAGUGACCCCCCCCCCACCCCCGGGCACCUCCUCACCAUGCGGGGAGGAGACUCGGCUGCCUCGGCUCGGAACCUGCCUCCCUGGUACUUCUCCCCACUUUCCAUCGACAGGUUUCGGGGCCAAGCCCAGACCCACAGGGUAGGGGAAUUCAUUCUGUCUGCAGCGAGGCCCUAGCAAGGCCAGGAUGGGGGUCUAGGGACGAAUGGCACAACCUGGCCACAUAGGCCUCAGGGAUGAAAAGGGACAGACUGUCCUGUGGAGUGUGUGGAAGGUCAGGGCAGCUGGCAGUGCUCCGAGCGUCCGGAGUGGACAGAAAGGCCAAAGGGAAUUGCAGCCAGGUGUUUCAUUCCCUCUUACCAACUGACUCCUGGUGGACCCGACUUCAAACCCGCUGGCAUAGGCCUGGACCUUGGCACCCUCGCUGCCCGUGGGGAAGCAAAAUGCCCAGGACAAGCCAGGGGCCCAGCGGGUCAGGAGGAGCAACUGGGCCGAGACCAGGUGCCUCAGCCUGGCAGUGCUGGGGCUUCUCCUGGGCCUUGAAUCAAGUGAGGGUCCGAGAAAGCCAUCUGGGGCCGGAGUGACGGACUGACGGUGCCAAGUGUCUGGGCAGGUCCCUUGCGGAGCUCUUCAUAUGCGUCAACUUGUUUUCUCCUCCCAACCCGCUGGGGCAGGUGCUGCUUUGUCCCAUUCUACAGGGGAGGGCACCGAGUUCUAGGCCGGGGCCCACAUAGAGUGCCAUGCCCCAGCCCGCCGGGCCCUGGAGCGUGGUCCCUAA